rnacentral:rRNA from 1 species
UACGGAGGUGGCAGGCGUUACUCGGAUUGAUUGGGUGUAAAGGGCGUGUAGGCGGUGCGUUAAGUCGAGUGUGAAAUCCCAUGGCUCAACCAUGGAACUGCAUUCGAAACUGACAUGCUUGAGUGUUGGAGAGGAAAGCGGAAUUCCCGGUGUAACAGUGAAAUGUGUAGAUAUCGGGAGGAACACCAGUGGCGAAGGCGGCUUUCUGGACAACUACUGACGCUGAAACGCGAGAGCUAGGGGAG